rnacentral:misc_RNA from 1 species
UCCGAGUUGACCCCGGCAGUCUCCUAUGAGUCCCCGGCAUAACCCGCUGGCAACAUAGAACGAGGGUUGCGCUCGUUGCGGGACUUAACCCAACAUCUCACGACACGAGCUGACGACAACCAUGCACCACCUGCGCAGGACCCUUGCGGACCCCACAUCUCUGUGGGAUUUCCCUGCAUGUCAAGCCUUGGUAAGGUUCUUCGCGUUGCAUCGAAUUAAUCCGCAUGCUCCGCCGCUUGUGCGGGGCCCCGUCAAUUCCUUUGAGUUUUAGCCUUGCGGCCGUAGUCCCCAGGCGGGGCACUUAUCGCGUUUGCUUCGGCACCGGGGGGGUCGAUACCCCCGACACCUAGUGCCCAUCGUCUACGGCGUGGACUAC